rnacentral:lncRNA from 1 species
UAAUAGUUAUUUCAAAUCACCAUAAAUUUGUGCAUUAUAUUUACCAAAAAAAUUAUAAUAAAAAUUUAAUUUAAAAAAAAUCAUAUAUUAUAUUUUAUGUAAAAAUAUCUAUCAUCCAUAAUACAAAUCAAAUAGUUGCCGCCGACAAAUAUUCUAUAGUUCUAUUUUUUAUAUACAUUGAAUAUUCCGCUAUAAUUUUCAGUUUCUCACAAAUCCAAAAAUUUAAAUAUAUGUUUAAACUAAAAUUAUCAAAAUUUUAAUUUAUGUUUAUUUCAAAAUUUAAAAUUAAAUUCUCAUCCACUUUAAUUAAAGUUUUUAACUAUUUUUCAAUCUUAAAAUCCAAAAUUAUAUUUAAUUCACAAUUUAAACUCAAAUUUUAAUUUUAAUUUAAAAAUUCAUAAAUUUAAUUUAAAUUAUAUAAUUAAGUUUCAGCUCUAAAUUUCAGAUGAAAUAAAAAUUAUAAAUAAAAUUAAAAUUAAAAUUUAGAUAGAUAUUUAAAUUUAAAUUUAAUUAUUUGUUGUAAUAAUAAAAAGUUAGUAUAAUAAUUAAAUAUUAGUAGAUAAAAUUAAGAUAAUUGUUAAAUAUUCAUCUUUUAAAAAAAGAUACGAUUGAAUAUUAUGUAUGCAACAGGUAUUACGUUAUGAUUGGAUAUAAUGUAGGCGACUGAUUUUACGUUGGACUGGAUAUAGAUAUUAUUAUUAAAAAAAAAAGACAGAUACUUUUAUUUUCAAAAGAUUUAAGUUAUCUAUAACUAACUAACUUCUAUCCAAUUAUUUUUCAUACUUUUAAUCAAAAUCA